rnacentral:rRNA from 1 species
UACAGAGGGGGCAAGCGUUGUUCGGAAUUACUGGGCGUAAAGGGCGCGUAGGCGGCCUGCUAAGUCGAACGUGAAAUCCCUGGGCUCAACCCAGGAACUGCGUCCGAUACUGGUUGGCUUGAAUCCGGGAGAGGGAUGUGGAAUUCCAGGUGUAGCGGUGAAAUGCGUAGAUAUUCGGAAGAACACCAGUGGCGAAGGCGACUUACUGGACACAUAUUGACGCUGAGGUGCGAAAGCGUGGGGAGCAAACAGG